rnacentral:misc_RNA from 1 species
GAUGAAGAACGCAGUGAAAUGCGAUAAGUAGUGUGAAUUGCAGAAUUCCGUGAAUCAUCGAAUCUUUGAACGCACAUUGCGCCUUCUGGUAUUCCGGAAGGCAUGCCUGUUCGAGAGUCAUUAACAACCGUUUCGAUCCCUUUCUUUCAGAAAUUACAAAGAGGAAAAGGGUUUGGUUAUGGUGGAGGAGGGAAAGGGAGCGUUUAGCCUGUAAAAAAAGAGGCUGUGUUCCGCCUCCCCCCCAAAAUUGUACAGGCGGUCGUGUGCGCCCACGCAUCGAGGUGUUGUAAAAGCUGCCACGGCACUUUUCACCUGUGCAGUGCGAGAUUGGCCAGCCGGUUUAAAAACCCCUCCACACAAUCAAAGGUUGACCUCGGAUCAGGUAGGGAUACCCGCUGAACUUAAGCAUAUCAAUAAGCGGAGGA